ensembl:snoRNA LOC120097225 small nucleolar RNA SNORA2/SNORA34 family
AUGGCUCUCACUGAAGACCAGCAAUUGUACAGUGGCUGUUGGUUUCAGGCAGAUGCCUAAAGAACUGUGGUUUUUUGGCUAUUCUGGACUUCAAUAGAGAAUGACUAUUCCAUUUGGAAGAAACAACC